AGCCUAUUUAGCUAGGAGGGUAUCUGCCUUGUAAGCAAAAGGUUGCGGGUUCGAUUCCCGCCCGGGGGC
rnacentral:tRNA from 1 species